rnacentral:rRNA from 1 species
GACGAACGCUGGCGGUGUGCCUAAUACAUGCAAGUCGAGCGAAUCAAUAGGAGCUUGCUCCUGUUGGUUAGCGGCGGACGGGUGAGUAACACGUGGGCAACCUGCCUGUAAGACUGGGAUAACACCGGGAAACCGGUGCUAAUACCGGAUAAUCUUUUUCCUCUCAUGAGGAAAAACUGAAAGUCGGUUUCGGCUGACACUUACAGAUGGGCCCGCGGCGCAUUAGCUAGUUGGUGAGGUAACGGCUCACCAAGGCGACGAUGCGUAGCCGACCUGAGAGGGUGAUCGGCCACACUGGGACUGAGACACGGCCCAGACUCCUACGGGAGGCAGCAGUAGGGAAUCUUCCACAAUGGACGAAAGUCUGAUGGAGCAACGCCGCGUGAGCGAUGAAGGCCUUCGGGUCGUAAAGCUCUGUUGUUAGGGAAGAACAAGUACCGGAGUAACUGCCGGUACCUUGACGGUACCUAACCAGAAAGCCACGGCUAACUACGUGCCAGCCGCCGCAGUAACAC